UUGGGCGUGGGAUGGCAGCUGGGCCCGGAGGGGACAGACUUCCAGGACAAUGUAGGGACUGGACUCGGCAGGAUCCUUGCAACUCUCUCCAGGGGCAGUCGGCCAAAUCCGUUCAGGAACCUUUGAGUUAGAAACGAGGAAAGGAGAGCCAGGAGGUCUACACUCUUUGGGAAAACAGAGCUUGAUGGGAGACCCUAACUCAUGACCUUUGGAACCAGGACUUCCUGGGCUGCAUUUAGGGGGUGUGACUCGAAGGUUCAGGCCCAGCUGGAGAUCUGCCAGAACCCAGGGAACAUUCAGAACCACAGGAGCCUGUUGGACUUCAGACCAGAGAAGCACAUGUUGCUACGGCAGCUGCCUCGGUAACUGGGGGGGCAGGCGGAACACGGCCUCCCCAUCUUGUAGGGAGCCUCCCCGAUCCAGUUGCCUCUGGAAGAGAAGGGAUCCCAGCAGGUGGGGGGGGGGGGGCAGGGGACAGUUACAAUACGAGCAACCUUCACACAGGCUGGGAUCUCCAAAUCUCACACUGCCACCUUGGGCCGGUCACUUCUGCAGGCCUCAGUUUCUAUCUGUAAAACCCAAACUAGACAUCCGCCCUCCCCACCCCCACCACACCUGCCACACAGGGGUAACGCCAUGGAUGGAUACACCUAGAACUACCCCACCACCUGCCAUCGGGUGGAUUCCCACUCGUGAUUCCCCGGGCGUUGUGGAGUGGAACUGCAACUGUAGGCUUUUCAAGAUGUGUGACCUUUUGGGGAAGCAGGACUUUCUUCGGAAGCCCUCUGGAUGAGUUUCAACUGCCAACCCUUUCACUGCAUAAUUUAAUGCUGAACUAUUUGCCCCACCCAGGGAUUCUGCACCUAGCACCCUGCUAACAAAUGUCUGUUGAGUUCUAGCCCUGGUUCUCCCCCAUCUGCUCACUGGGUGGGGUGUCAGAGACUACGCCGCUUCGUUUGUUAGCCUUGAUUUCAGCUUCUGAAUAGAAGAAAUCGUGUCUGUGAAUAUGCGGUGAAAUGCCUGAUUAAAAAAAACCAGUUUGUCAUUUACAAGAGGAGUCAUUAGAUGCCUAGCCCAACUCCAUCCUACCUGCUGCGGAAUCGAUCUUCCCAAAGAACACCAACCUCGUCACAUCCCUCUCCUGCUCAGGAACAUUCAGCGCCUUCCCCACGGUGUGUGCCAGAGUUGGCACCAGUGAAGGGUAGGGUGAGUAUACUGAACAUCGGACAGCACCGUCCAUUCCCUUUUGUCUGCGUUUCUAAGGGACAUCUACUUGAGGAACUCUCCUAGCCUCUUCCCACCCUGCAGCUGGGAGAAGCUAGAAGGAGCAGAGCAUGCUCAGUUCGAUCUUCCUUUCUCCUCUUUGGGCAUCCUGCACGUCUCCACCUUGCAGAGAGCCUGCCAGAAGGAGCUGGCUCUGCCCUUGGAACAGGAAGCCUGCUGUCUAGGGUUGUCUGUCACCGGAUCAAACUCACAGACACUAGGUCCAUUCUGCUGCACAGGACAGGGCAGACUGUCACUCUCUAGGAGGCCGAAGAGGCCUCAUCUUUCUUCCAAGGAGCAGCACUGCUGACCUUGCUGGUAGCAGUCCAAGGGGUCAUCCACUCACCCCCAGGGCGCCUUGGUGCUGCGUGGUUGCUGGGGCUGUGCUGGUAGGUGCUGUCCAGUCAGUUGUGACUCCAAGCCACGCCACACAUGACAGAAGGACCUCCCGGUCCCACGCCACCUUCCCAGCUGGCAUCAUGUUUGAGGUCAUUGCUGAAGCCACUGUGUCUAUCCACCUUGCCGAGCACCUUCCUCCUUUUCACUGCCCCUCUCUUUUACCAAGCAUGAUGUCGCUCUCCAGAGACUGGUCUCUCCUAACAACGCAUCCAAAGUGCACCAAGACCAAGCUAUCCUUGCCUACUGGGUGGGUGGGUCUACUUCCCCAGGGAGAUGUUUGCGAGUCCCUUUGGCUUCUGGACUGAAGGUCUGUGCUUUACAUCGGGCUCAUCAGUGAGGCUGCCUUGCACCCUGCCAGGCCCUUCUCUCCCCAGGUUGAUUCUGAAAUGUGAGUAAAGAUGAAGAACCCUCUUUCUAAAAUGACCCAGUCCUGUGGAGUGGGAUUUAUGGAGCAUGAAGAGAGGCUCGAUGUCUCGGAAGCAUAUUAGCUCACUGCUGUGGGGCCGAGCCCUACUCAUGACAGCCCUAGAGGACCAGGUAAGAUGGCCCGGGGAGUUUCCGAGGCUGUAAGCACCAUCUUUCUCCCGCUGAAGCAUGUUUGGGGAGUCACUAGAUGGCGUGAACUUGCAAUGCAUGUGUGUGCGCAGCGCAUCUCUGCGAUCUGCUUAUUGAAUUGCUAUGUGUGUGUGUGUGUGUGUAUCUCUCUCUGUUGCCCCCUGCCCAUUCCACCUCACCACCCACCCCUCAGGGCCCCUUACUUAAUGGCGUAGUGGCAGACCAGGUACACCGCCUGAUGCCAAGUGCUGCCCCAGACGCUGAUGCUGCCGCAGGUGUGGAUGGCACAACCCAACCGGUUGGAGGAGGCCCACACCAUCUGAGGGAAGACAGAGAUGAUGGGGAUAUGAUGAGAUAGGGCCCCUGUCCUUGGGCUGGGUGGCUCCCGGCCUUCUUGCCCCCAGGAUGAGGGGGCUGGAGGCAUCGUAUGGUUUAACCCACAGGGGUACCUGGGUGUAGUGGGAGCAGACGGGGCCGCUGCAGUGCCAAGGACAGUGUGGGUUACAGUCCCUCGGGGCCGGAAACACGUAAUGCUGCUUCUCCUCGGACCACGACUUCACGAGAUCCACCACUGAGCGGUGGGGCCACCGAGCCCCGGAAAGUGGAAAUCCCUUCCCAAGGCCACACCGUCUGAACUCAGGUCCCCUGGAGAACCAGGCAGCAGGAGGAGGUCAUGUCAAGUGUGGAUGUCACCAUCCUCAGGUCAUCCCGGGCAGGACUUGACUGGAUGGCAAUGAAGGAGGACAACGCCUAACUGGACUGCAGGCUCCACGCAGCCACGGCCCAGUCACCACUCUGUCCUGAUGCCUGGCUCAGAGAAGGGACCGAGCAAAGGGAGGGGCCGAGAAACACUCACCGGCCAGAGUGGAUGGAGAGGUUCUGGCCCACGUAUCGCAUCAGCUGCGAGGGCCCGUGGGCCCAGAUGCACUGGGUGGCCCAGGCUUCGGCGGACCUAGCCAGCCUCUCAUCCCAGACCUGGGGAAAGAAAGGUUGCAGAAGUCUCCAGGCUCACAGCAGUACCUUCUUACCUGUGCCCAGGACGCUCCUUCCCCCAGCUCCUUGGGCCGCACGACAGAUCCACUGGACACGUUGGAAAGCCGAGGCUCAGAGGAGAUGUAGAUCUUCAAGGUCAAUAGCACACCCACACCAGAACCAAGACUCACCCUGAGCAUCCGACUCAGGCCUCAGUGUUCUGCUUCCCUCAUGGGUCCUUAGGCCCAGAGGGGUGGUGGGAAAGCGGGAGGGGCCAACGGGGACGGAAGGUCUCUACGCUGAACCCCAAA